UACGUAGGGUGCGAGCGUUGUCCGGAAUUAUUGGGCGUAAAGGGCUCGUAGGCGGUUUGUCGCGUCGGGAGUGAAAACACUGGGCUUAACCGAGUGCUUGCUUUCGAUACGGGCAGACUUGAGGCAUUGAGGGGAGAACGGAAUUCCUGGUGUAGCGGUGAAAUGCGCAGAUAUCAGGAGGAACACCGGUGGCGAAGGCGGUUCUCUGGUAAUGUUCUGACGCUGAGGAGCGAAAGUGUGGGGAGCGAACAGG
rnacentral:rRNA from 1 species